UAAGGAACUGUGGCGUCGUCAGCCU
rnacentral:piRNA from 1 species